UCUUAUAUGCUAGAAAAUUCUCUCUUCUUGUACUAAAAAGAGAGAGAAAUAAAUAAAUAAACAAUGAAACCCCUCCAAAGCUCUCUAUAUAUAAUGAGUCUUCUAUAGGUUUAGGGUCGUAUGGUGUGAUCUCUCCCCCUCUCUUUCUCUCUCUUUUUCUCUCUGAAUUUUCUUGGUGAUUAUCCAUGCAUUCAAGAAGGAUUUGAGGCUUGUGAUCUCUCCCCCUCUCCUUCUCUCUGCAUUUUCUUGGUGAUUACCAUGCAUUCAAGAAGGAUUUGAGGCUACUGCUGAAGAAGAAAAGGUUGCAACAACUUCAUUCUUCCUGCAUCAAAUGGACAUAUUCCAGAGUAAAUUGUGCAAUCCAUUGGCAAGGAGUGUCAAAGACAUCGAUCAAUUCCCUUGAUACCAUUAUCACAAAUUUACUUCUUGUUUCCCAUCUCGUUCGAGCCAAGCUGCAAAAGAGCCUAAAUUUUAGAGAGACACAGAACAACAUUGCUAUUCCCAAACUACCCUUAGACUGUAUUUUUGUCUGUAAAACUAAUUUACUAUUCAUGAUGAAUACAUUGCUCUUUUAUAGUA